CAUUUUUAAUAAAAUUUACAGUGGGCGAAGGAAUAAAAAAAAUUACAUAAAUUAGGUUGGCGUGGGCGUUAGCCUUCGUGGUGCCCCGUCAAUUGGCAAAUAAUGGACUCGUCUUAUUAUUAACUGAAACGCCUUUUGAUCUCGCAAGGCAAAUUACACGCUACAACGCCGCCUUAUGCAGCACUGAAACCGGACUUGGCGUUAUGCAGCACAUGCCAUGUAACACUCAACGCUGCCUAAGGGCCGAGGAGGGGAUUUAACUGUCGUCUGUGGCGUUUGCAAUUCACUUUGAUUAAAUAUGCACACCGCGGACAGAAAGAGAAAGACGGAGGGAGCAAGCAGCUCUAGUGCAGCGCAUUAAAAUGCCGCAACAAUGCGGCAGCAGGGACAGCUGCAAGUGGCUGUCGUUUUGCCGUAUCCUUAGACAAGUCAAAUAGUGAGAGUUGGACAAGAAAGCGCAAAACAAGUUUGGCGAAUUUUCGGCAACUGCAGCGUGUCCUCUGACAGGAUAUAAAACAAUCAGCGCAAGCUAGCGGAAACGGAAGUGUUGCUGCCACACCCCCUCGCCAGCAAUUGUGGGCGUAACGAAUUGCAGCUGCAGCAGCGACUGAAUGCGAGCUCCUUGUGGCUGUUGUGAAAUGUAGACCAAAUGCUGUCCCGUUCUGCUUCUGGGAGAUACCACAGCACAGGACUCACUCGUCUGCCGUUUGACUAUUGUCUGUUUUUCAGUUGCCGCCUGCCUGCAUCGGAUAUUCUUCGGCACAACAAAGCUGACAAUUGUAAAGAUAAGGAUUGGAUAUGAAGCCAAGGAAACGACUUGCUUUGCUGCUUGUGCAAUUGCCAAGGAUGAAUUGCGCCAAGCUUGCAGAACAAUUCGCUAGAGAACUUAGACUUGGAGAAAUUCAUCUGCUAUUCAAUCGGAUCCACAAAAUAAUUGUCCAGGUGUGCCCCAGCCGCCGGCUGCCGCAAUGCCUGCUUCUCCGCCCAGACCGUUGCCAGC